rnacentral:rRNA from 1 species
GAUGAACGCUGGCGGCGUGCCUAAUACAUGCAAGUCGAGCGAACAGACGAGGAGCUUGCUCCUCUGACGUUAGCGGCGGACGGGUGAGUAACACGUGGAUAACCUACCUAUAAGACUGGGAUAACUUCGGGAAACCGGAGCUAAUACCGGAUAAUAUAUUGAACCGCAUGGUUCAAUAGUGAAAGACGGUUUUGCUGUCACUUAUAGAUGGAUCCGCGCCGCAUUAGCUAGUUGGUAAGGUAACGGCUUACCAAGGCAACGAUGCGUAGCCGACCUGAGAGGGUGAUCGGCCACACUGGAACUGAGAAACGGUCCAGACUCCUACGGGAGGCAGCAGUAGGGAAUCUUCCGCAAAGGGCGAAAGCCUGACGGAGCAACGCCGCGUGAGUGAUGAAGGUCUUCGGAUCGUAAAACUCUGUUAUUAGGGAAGAACAAAUGUGUAAGUAACUAUGCACGUCUUGACGGUACCUAAUCAGAAAGCCACGGCUAACUACGUG